GGACCCGCCACGGAAUGACGGCCCCCGCGCGCGACCAAUCCGCGAAGCCGCGCCUGCGCACCAGAGGCGGACGGGAGCGGGCGGAGGGCGGGGAAUGAGUCUAAGCCUCCAGAGACAGCGCCUCCUGUUGCGUGAACAAGAACUGCACCUUUCUCUGCAAGGAUCACUGGAUUUAUGUGGAAACUGAGCCCCAGAGAGGUUGAGGGGCUUUCCCAAAGUUGCACAAUGGAGUCCUGCUCGUCACCCAAGCUGGAGUGCGAUGGCACGCUCUUGGCUUACUGCAACCUCUGCCUCCCAGGUUCAAGCAAUUCUCCUGCCUCAGCCUCCCGAGUAGCUGGGACUACAGGUGUGCACUACCACGCCCAGAGGGAGUUUUUCUCUUGUUGCCCAGGCUGGAGUGCAAUCUUGGCUCACUGCAAUCUCUGCCUCCCAGGUUCAAGCAAUUCUCCUGCCUCAGCCUCCCAAAGUGCUGGGAUUACAAGCGUGAGCCACUGUGCCUGGCUUUAUCUCACAUAUUUUUUGUGUGUGGUGAGAACACUUGAAAUCUAUUCUCUUAGUGAUCUUCAAGUAAAUAAUACAUUGUUAUUAACUAUAAUCAGCGUAUUGCACAAUAUGUCUCUUGAACUUAUUCCUCAGGUCUAACUGAAAUUUUGUUUCCUUUCACUAUUAACAUCUCUUCCACCACUCCCAUCCAUCGACCCCUCUGCCCAGCUCCUGGUAACCAUCAUUCCACUUUCUGCUGCUCUGCGUUUGACUUCUUUAGAUUCCAUGUUUAAGUGAGAUCAUACAGAUUUUGUCUUUCUGUGCCUGGCUUAUUUCACUUAACAUAAUGUCCUCCAAGUUUAUUCAUGUUGUUGCAAAUGACAGAAUUUCUUUCCCACCCUCUAAUGACCCCACCUUUUUUUAAGAGACAAGGUCUUGCUACGUUGCCCAGGCUAGACUUUAACUCCUGGUCUCAAGGGGUCCUCCUGCCUCAGCUUCUAGAGUAGCCACUGGGACUACAGGCGUGCGUUAUUACUCCUGGCUUUCAAUUUCCUUCUUUUUCACAACUGAGUAGUUUUCUACUGUGUAUAUACCAUAUUUUCUUUACUCAUUCACCUACUGGUGGAUGCCUAGGUUGCAUUAAAACUUAACAUGCACAGAUCUUAUGAUUCUGCAAUUUCAUUUUUCAAGUAGGAAAUUUUUCCACUUUAGUCAUAGUAUUUAACUUAUUUUUACUUUCUUGAAAACAAACGUUACCUGUGUGAAAAUGGUUCUAAAUUGAAAAGCUAUUAAUAAUAAUGCAACAUUUCCUUAAAAUAACAUACCUUAUAAAUGCAAUAAUGAUUUCUCGCAUCAGUCUGACAGAUAGCAUCUCUAAAAAUUUACUAUAUCACCAGGAGAUAUCUAUUUUUCUUUUCUUUUUUGAGACAUGACUAUGUCAGCCUCUUGGUCUAAUUUUUGUAUUUUUAGUAGAGAUGGGGUUUCACCAUGCUGGCCAGCCUAGUCUCAAACUUCUGACCUUAAAUGAUCCACCAAACUCAGCCUCCCAUAGUGCUGGGAUUACAGCAGGAGGCACCUCAGCCGGCCAAGGUAUCUAUCUUAAUAACAAAUUACUUUUACAGAUAAUAUAUGACCAACUGGGUCUAGCCGUGACAUCACAGUUUAUUAGUGCUGGAAUGGACUUUAGUGAUCAUUAUACCCUAAUUUACAGAAAACU